CAGCUGUAAACGAUGCAGACUAGGUGUUUGGACGGCCACGUGCCGUUCUAGUGCCGCAGGGAAGCUGUUAAGUCUGCCGCCUGGGGAGUACGAUCGCAAGAUUGAAACUUAAAGGAAUUGGCGGGAGAGCACCACAAGGGGUGAAGCUUGCGGUUUAAUUGGAGUCAACGCCGGAAAUCUCACCGGGAGCGACAGCAGUAUGAAAGCCAGAUUGAAGGUCUUGCUAGACGAGCUGAGAGGAGGUGCAUGGCGUCAGUGACU
rnacentral:rRNA from 1 species